AAUUCUGGCAGGAAGUCAAACCAAAGCAGAAGCGGUAAAUUUAACAAAAUAAAAGAACAUUUUCAAAAAAAUAAAACACUGCGAUUGAUAAAUGUGAUAAUUUUUGUGUAUCUAAACAGACUAGAGAGAUGAAAAUGAACAAACACACACACAUAGCAGAGAAACAUAGCUUUUCCAAAAUUUUAAAUGCAGUUUUUACAGCAAAGGAUGGAUUUAAUAAAUGUGAAUACAAAGAAAUACACAGCAGCAAGAUCAGCGCAGUUUCCGUUAUCAACACGCGGGGCAAACUGGUUACACACACACACACACACACACACACACACACACACACACACACACACACACACACACACACACAAAGGGCGGGGUGGGGGGGUUUGGGAAAUGGUAGGCGUGUGCAGAAGCGCACGUUGAAAAUUCUGUCCUGAUGUGAACAGACGAGGAGUGGACAGCGCACGAAUUUCAUGAGUGAUCCACUUCGCGGCGCUUCACAGCUGGUGUGUUCUGGGCGUAAAAGAGCUGAAACACAUUGUUGUACGAUUAUUCUCACAUUUAUUUACAUUUAUAUUAACUUAAAGAUUUGUUGGAAGGAUUAUUGUUCAACACUCAGCUUUAAGGGGUUAGAUGGGGGGGUUAAACCACCAAAUAGUUCCCGAGCGCAGCCACUGCUGCAGCUCACCACUCCCAACGGAAAUGGGUCAGAUGUGGAGAUGUCAUUUCACCAAUGUGUGAUGAUGACUUUAACUUUAUUUGUCCAUAAGAAAGGUUGCCAGCUCUAUAUCCGUCUUCAGCAAACGAGCUCUGUGAUUGACAUCUGUGCUUAAGUAGAUGUUUAACGCUAUUGGCUAAUGCUGACCAAUUCAAAUUGCUUGGCGCUCUACAGAACAGGGGAGCAGGCUUACAAAAAAUGAUGUUUUGCCUACAUUCUAUCACAAAACAGGGUAACACUAUCACUCUCACAGAUUAAAAAAAACAUACAUUAUUACUGAAAGGGAGAAAACUCUGUCUCAGUGUUGAGAGGCUUGUGAUGAAAGAAUAGGAGUGAGAAAAAUGUGAGUUUAUCGUAACUACAUCAUCUGGCUAUAAUGUAACAGGUUUGUUCAGUUGUGCUGUUCUAGAAAAAAACAUUUUUAUUCAGCCAAAUGAUGCACUGGCCUUAGCUCAGAGCAACACUGUUUGUUUUUUGUCUGAAAUGGAUGUUUGGCAGUCAAAUAAAUGCAAAUUUGGUAGAAAAACCACGUUUUACUUUGCAGAAAUGUUCAAACUGCAUUUACUCGUCUGACAACGGCUCACUCCUGAUCGUCUCUAAAUAAUUUACUAAUCAGGUCUGAAUAUUUUCUCCUCACUGCUCAAUUUGAUUAAAGUAUUUAGUCUCAGAUGAUCGCUCAUCACAUGGAAGCACUUAUUUUUCCUGAUGUGAUGUUGUCUGUAUAGCGUGAUGAAACAGAAAUUUUAUAAGUGAGUUAGCUUUUCUAGCCUGCAGCUCUCAGUGAGGCUGGUUCAGCACUGUAAAAAAAGUCAGUAAAAUAUACAGUAAAACACCGUCAAAUUCCAACGGUAAUGGAGCGUACAACCAAAACUUCAUUUUACCGUAUUACAUUGAUUCAAUAACCGUUAAUUGUGAGACUGGAUAAAACUGUGUUUUUCACUGUAAUAAAAUGUUGAAAUUAUAAUUAUUUUCUCUGAAAAUAAAAAAAUAUACAUACAUUUUACAAUAAAAUUUUGUAACGUUGAAAAUGUCUGAAAACCUUUCAUUUUACGGUAUCAUUCAAGUAAAACUACAUCUUUUGGGGUUGUGCACAUUGGAAUUCACAGUAUAAAUCUGUAAAUUUUUAAGCAAACAAAAACAUUAAUUUUUACUGAAGCAAGAUGUUAAAAAUAGGGUCCACCGUAAUAAUACAAGUAAAUACCAUUAAAAAGCUAUUAUCAUCAGUAAAAGACAAUACAAUUGAUAGUCGGCUAUUUUUAAUUAUAAAAAUCUGUGCAUCAGUAGGCCUAUAGGCCUAAAAAGUUAGGCCUGCAGUAUAUUACUGUCAACCUUCUGUUAAAAAAAAUCAACAGCAAAAUUUUUUUUUAAUAAAGUUCAUGGUUGUAAAAAAUUCAUUUCAGUUAUCUUUUUCAAUUAUUAUUUUAAAUCAACUUUAUGUUAUGUUUCACGCCAUUUUAUCAGACCACCUGGGUCCGCCUUAAAGAUUAAGUCACAUCAAAAUCAACCUUUUUUUAGCUGAUAACUAGUACAAAUGAGCGUCUAAUAGUGUUGUAGACAUGUGUACUGCGGUCUCAACCCGUCUCAACCAGUCUUUUAGCAGUCAGGCUCGGAAGUGAGUUGUGCUGUAGUUAGCAUUUGCAUUGUGUCAGAAUCCCAGCAAAACUUCUAGUAUUAUAGUUAUUUAGUUCUAGUAGCUUGGCUGUUAAUAUUGUAGUUAAGUGUUUUUUACAUGUUACUCUUUCACCAACUUGAUGGAGUUUGAACUGGGAUGGAGUUUGAACUGGGUUAUGCUGGUUUGAAGAGCAUUUCACAAAUUAGUCCAAGCCGUUCCAGUAAUUAGCCGGUGUUCUGGGAAUUUCUCCUACCCCGUAAACCGUCCUACCCGUUGUUCCUGAGCAUGUGCGCGCAUGCGCACAACACAAAAAGGGAAUGCUACUCCGUUGUCAUAUGUGCAGGAAAAUAGGUAAGUAGUAAGUAUUAGUACUUUUUAUUGAUGUUGAUACUUGAUUUUUUGGGUUAGGGAUGGGUACCGAAUUCGGUACUUUUUAAGGUACCGAUCGAAUUCCAUAGUACCGACCGAGCACCGAUUCACGUAAUUUCAAACGGUGCCUUGUUUCGGUACCCGUCCUUCAUAACGAGAACUUGCCAAGACAGCUGCGCAUGCGCAAGAGCGUUAUGUCGUUGCUCGCUGCGAGCGAGUUGUAAACAGAGCAGCAUGGUAGAAAGAACGCACGCUAAAUCUUGGGUCCACUUCACUAAAUGUGAUGGGUAACUGGGUGAUGAUGAAACCAGCAACAACGAUCUAAGUGAGACAUCCUCAUCUUAAUCUGUUCCGGUAGGUAAAUAAAAUGUUUAAGAUAACGUUAGCUUGAUAUGUUAGCUUCAGUUUCGCUAAUGGUGCGUUUGCUUUCUCCUCGGAACUCCGAAUUUCCAACUAGAAGAACAUGAACGCGCGCUAAAGUUUGGCUUCACUUUACUAAAGGCGACUGGUGAUUGGGUGAAGAUGAAACCAGUGACAACGAUCUAAGUGUGAGGCAUCAUCGUUUUAAUCUGCUCCAGCAGUUAAAUAAACUGUUUAAGAUAACGUUAGCUUGAUAUGUUAGCUUCCAUUGCCACCGUUAUCAGCUAAUGGUGCGUUCGCUUUCUCCUCGGAAAUUCUAGCUUCCCAGUAGGAAAAAUCAAAUGAAAAAAGACGACAAAAGGAAUGAAGAUACACAGUAAAUUUAGUUCACAGUAAAGAUGUUUGCUUCAGUUUAAUUAUCAGCUUAUAAAACUACAAGGACGAUGUUAAAAUACAAACAGUUGAAUGUUAUUUAUCGUGAUAUUUAUCAAAUAUUGUUAUAUAUUGAGAAAAAUAUAUAUUUAAUUAUAAAAGAGAAUUAAAAUAAUAAACACUCAAAAGUAUCGAAAAUUGGUACCGUUAAGUACCGGUAUCGAUUCCUAGGUACCGGGAAUUAGUACCGAAUCGAUUCAAAUGUCAAAGGUACCCAUCCCUAUUUAGGGUUAGUGUUUGUGUCAUGUAAAACACCAUAAAAUUAUCCUACGGGUACGUUUUGCCAAAGUAGGACGUUUUGUCAGAACACCGGUUCCCGCCGACUGCUGCUUCCUGAAAACGGAGAUUUUGGACCCAAUUUGAGGUGAGUAAGCUAAAUAAUUACUUUUAACAGCUUCUAAAGAUCAUUCCCUACCUGUAAUUUUGCAGCUAUAUUUGCUAUAUUUAUAAAUGCAAAGUAAGAGGGACGUGGUUCACGUAAUUUAGACAAUCAGUCCACACUGCUGCAGGCUCGAAGCGAGUGUUGUGUGUGUUAUAAUGUCACAGACUGGUUCGUGUUAAGUUUUUGUGCCAGUUACCCCUUCUUUCCACUGGAGCCGUCAGCAGCACGUUACUGCAGCAGCACGUCUUGCUCGCGUAAGCUGCUGCUUGGCCCUUCCCACGAGACGCGAAGCAGCAGGGGAGCAGCUGUCACCGACAGAGCACGAAGUCACACGAGGGACUUCGUCAGUAAACACAACAACAAGCAGGAGAAAAUUACAACAUGGCUCCAAAAGGUUUGUGUUUUAUGUUCUGUCCGUUUUAUAAUCGCCAAUACGGACCUGAAAUACAAAGGAGACCGCUAGCUAGGUGAUAACUUCUCAUGGGGCCGCACAGUUAGGCAGUACGUUUCUUCAUUCUGAAAAUCUCUGGAGCUUCGCUCCGUUUCCGCGUCCGAUUUCCUGUCUUUCCUUCCCCAAAAAUGUCAAUAAUACCUAGCUGCAGACGCAGCCCCGACAAACCACACCCCCGACAAAACACCCCCCCGACCAAACACACCCCCAUGUGCCUGUUGAGCUCCCCCGAGCUCCCCUGGUGGUCAGAAAAGGGAAAUAUCUCAAUAACGGCAGCCCUCCCAGCGGGCGGGGAGAGCUUAAACCUGGGUCGGAUCCAGGGUGCAGCAUCCCGCUGUCAGCUCCAGCAGGUGAUCGGGCUGUGUUUUUAAUUCCCAGCAGGGCAGGGGAGCUCAUUCCUGGGUCGGAUCCGGUCCGCAGCAGCCCGCCACAGGCUCCAGCAGGUGAUGGCGGUGUUUCCAACCCUCCCAGCGGGGCAGGGGAGCUGAAACCUGGGUCAGAUCCAGGGUGCAGCACCCCGCCUCAGGCUCCAGCAGAGGAGAUUGGGAUUUUUUUCAUAUCAAACGCCUUUCAAUGCGAACAAUACAAUUGAAAGUAUACGUUUAUACAGAAAUAGUAACAAUGUAAUUAAACAGACAGGACUCCAGAUUGAAAUAUGAAUGCAUGGAUUUUUUUCUUCUUGCAUACACACUUUUUGGCCAUCCCCAUUGGGAUUAUAAAACACAAGAUACCACCAACAAAUAAUCAGUUGCCGGACAAUAGGCACAACUAGGGAUGGGUACCGAAUUCGGUACUUUUUAAGGUACCGACCGAAUUCCAUAGUACCGACCGAGCACCGAUUCACGUAAUUUCAAACGGUGCCUUGUUUCGGUACCCGUCCUUCAUAACGAGAACUUGCCAAGACAGCUGCGCAUGCGCAAGAGCGUUAAGUCGUCGCUCGCUGCGAGCGAGUUGUAAACAGAGCAGCAUGGUAGAAAGAACGCACGCUAAAUCUUGGGUCCACUUCACUAAAUGUGAUGGGUAACUGGGUGAUGAUGAAACCAGCGACAACGAUCUAAGUGAGACAUCCUCAUCUUAUUCUGCUCCGGUAGGUAAAUAAAAUGUUUAAGAUAACGUUAGCUUGAUAUGUUAGCUUCUGUUUCGCUUUUGGUGCGUUAUAUAUUGAGAAAAAUAUAUAUUUAAUUAUAAAAGAGAAUUAAAAUAAUAAACACUCAAAAGUAUUGAAAAUUGGUACCGUUAAGUACCGGUAUCGAUUCCUAGGUACCGGGAAUUAGUACCGAAUCGAUUCAAAUGUCAAAGGUACCCAUCCCUAGAAAUCUUCGCAAGGUGUAAAAAUAUAAAUCUGUCUUUACCUGAACUGUCAUUUCCAUCUGGUGUUGCAACACGCAUGCAACUUCUCUUGUCUUCGAACAUGCAGGCGUCUUUUGUCAAUAAUUCCUAGCUGCAGACUGGGAGGGCUGCCGUUAUUGAGAUAUUUCCCUUUUCUGACCACCAGGGGAGCUCGGGGGAGCUCAACAGGCACAUGGGGGCGUGUUUGGUCGGGGGCGUGCUUUGUCGGGGCUGCGUCUGCAGCUAGACCUUACUCAAAAAUGUCGAACGUGACCCGUUUCAGAGGCAUCGUGCGUAGAAAAUAGAACCGGCGCGUAAGAGCCGCGACAUGCUGCUCCUGAGACGCGGCCGACUCGUGCUGCUGACGGCUGCUGACGUCUCCGGUGAAAAAGGUUCUGUUGACCACAGCGGUUCCUAUCAGCAGCUAUGACGUGCUGCUGCAGUAACGUGCUGCUGACGGCUCCGGUGGGAAGAAGGGGUUAGUAAUUAUCAGAGCUGAUGCAGAGCAGGAGGGACACUCAAGAGUAGCUCCUCCUGAAGCAGACCUGACCCGGUUCUGAACUGGUGCUGAGUCCAGUUCUCAUUAGAGCAUGUCUGAUUCUGGACCCUGAAUUAGCUCUGAGAGCAGUCUGAUCACUCACCAGCCAUGUUAUAAAGAACAUAUAUUAGACAGUUUGUUUUGUACACGAUCUAAGUUACUAAACUCCCACAACAGCGUGAUGUUAUUAUUAUUUUCAGGCUAAGUCUGCCCAAUAAAUCUACUGUCAGACUGAUGUAGUCCUCCACCAGCCUGCACCGGUCCAGGCUAGAGCCUUGCAGCCUCCCAGCAGCUGUGUGUCUGACACUGGGACCAUGGUGGGAAUUCCACCCAGAGCAGCUUCUACACUCCUGAACAGACCCAGGUUUGGUGGAGAGCUUCUGAGCAGCUUCCAUCUGGAUGACAGGACAAGAUCCAUGAACUGAUCCAGGCUAAAUGAACCCAAGAAAUCUGCUGUCAGACUGAUUGUUGCAGCUACAAAUGGUCCAGACUAACAUGAAGCCUUGCAGGUGGAGUAAAGAGGGGAUCCUGCUAGACCAUAGUGAACUCCUGAUCGACACUGAAGUCUUCCUGCAGAGCUCGUAUCUUCGACACCAUGCCAUUAGAAACUCCACUGAGUCCUUUCCUUCACCAAGGCAGGACCCAGUGACUCAUUACUGUCGAUCGGUCAGGGGCUGGUAAUUUUGUGUUUCAUGUUUAUUUAUUCCUCCACAGAUUACCAGCCAUAAUAUAUGAACACAUGUUGUAUUCGCAAGAUCUAUGCUGUGGGUAGGAAUAGAACAAAUAUGUUUAUUUUGUUUUCAAAUGCUAAUUUUUCUCAUUGUUUUUCAGUAAUUUUCAUCGUUGUCGUCUUCCUCCGCUUAUCCGGGUCAUUGGGGCAGCAUCCCAACUAGGGAGCUCCAGACCGUCCUUUCCCUGGCCACCUCCACCAGCUCCUCCGGCAGGACCCCAAGGCGUUUCCGGACCAGAUUGGAGAUGUAACCUCUCCAAUGUGUCCUGGGUUGACCCGGGGGCCUCCUGCCGGCAGGACAUGCCCGAAACACCUCCUCAGGGAGGCGUCCAGGAGGCAUCCUGACCAGAUGCCCAAACCACCUUAACUGACACCUUUUGAUCCGGAGGAGCAGCGGUUCUACUCCAAGUCCCUCCCGAAUGUCCGAGCUCCUCACCCUAUCUCUAAGGCUGAGCCCGGCCACCCUACGGAGGAAACUCAUUUCGGCCUCUUGUAUCCGCGAUCUCGUUCUUUCGGUUAUUACCCAAACCUCAUGACCAUAGGUGAGGAUUGGGAUGUAGAUCGACUGGUAAAUCGAGAGCCUGGCUGUCUGGCUCAGCUCCCUCUUCACCACGACAGAUCGGCUCAGCGUCCGCAUCACUGCAGAUGCUGAACCAAUCCGCCUGUCGAUCUCCCGAUCCCUCCUACCCUCACUCGUGAGCAAGACCCCGAGAUACUUAAACUCCUCCACUUGAGGUAGGACCUCUCUCCCGACCCGGAGUUGGCAAGCCACCCUUUUCCGGUCGAGAACCAUGGUCUCAGAUUUGGAGGUGCUGAUCCUCAUCCCAGCUGCUUCACAUUCGGCCGCGAACCUACCCAGCAAGAGCUGAAGGUCAGAGCUGGAUGAAGCUAGGAGGACCACAACAUCUGCAAAAAGCAGAGACGAGAUUCUCCUGCCACCAAACUCGACACACUCUACACCACGGCUGCACCUAGAAAUUCUGUCCAUAAAGGUAAUGAACAGAACCGGUGACAAAGGGCAGCCCUGGCGGAGUCCAACCCUCACCGGGAACAGGUCUGACUUACUACCGGCUAUGCGGACCAAACUCACGCUCCUCUGGUAAAGGGACUGAAUGGCCCUUAACAGAACCACCCCAUACUCCUGGAGCGUCCCCCACAGGGUGCCUCUGGGUACACGGUCAUAAGCCUUCUCCAAAUCCACCAAACACAUGUGGAUUGGUUGGGCAAACUCCCAUGCCCUCUCCAUCACCCUUGCAAGGGUAUAGAGCUGGUCCACAGUUCCACGGCCAGGACGAAAACCACAUUGCUCAAUCAAUCAAUCAAUCAAUCAAUCAAUCAAUCAAUCAAUCAAAGCUUUAUUUAUAAAGCGCCUUCCGCAACCCUGUCAGGAAGCCCAAGGCACUUCUCCUCAAUCUGAGAUUCAACUAUCGCUCGGACCCUCCUCUCCAGUACCUUGGAGUAGACCUUUCCAGGGAGGCUGAGGAGUGUGAUCCCCCUAUAGCUGGAACACACCCUCAGGUCACCCUUCUUAAAGAUGGGGACCACCACUCCGGUCUGCCACUCCACAGGAACUGCCCCCGAUGACCACGCAAUGUUGCAGAGACGUGUCAACCACGACAACCCUACAACAUCCAUAGCCUUGAGAUACCCAGGACGAAUCUCAUCUGCCCCCGGGGCUCCGCCGCUGUGUAGUUGUUUGACUACCUCAGCAACUUCUGCCCCCGAGAUUGGACAGUCCAUCCCCAGGUCUCCCAGCUCUGGUUCCUCCUCGGAAUGCGCGUAGGUGGGACUUAGGAGCUCCUCAAAGUAUUCCUUCCACCGCCCGACUAUAGCCCCAGUUGACGUCAGCAGCUCCCCAUCCCCACUGUAAACAGUGUGAGCGAGUUGCUGCCUUCCUCUCCUGAGGCGCCGGACAGUUUGCCAGAACCUCUUUGGAGCCAAUCGAUAGUCUUUCUCCAUGGCCUCACCAAACUUCUCCCACGCCCAAGAUUUUGCCUCGGCAACUGCCACUGCUGCACCCUGCUUGGCUAUCCGUACCCGUCUGCUGCCUCCGGAGACCCACAGAUCAGCCACGUCCUGUAGGCCUUCUCCUUCAGCCUGACAGCUCCCCGAACCUCUGGUGUCCACCAGCGGGUAUGGUGGUUGCUACCACGACUGGCACCGGCUACCUUGUGACCACAGCUAGCAACAGCCGCCUCAACAAUCGCAGAGUGGAACAAGGCCCACUCGGAAUCAAUGUCCCCCACUGCUCUCGGGACGCGGUCAAAGCUCUGCCGGAGGUGGGAAUUGAAGACCGUCUUGACAGGUUCUUCUGCCAGGCAUUCCCAGCAGGCCCUCACUAUGCAUUUGCGUCUGCCAGGUCUACGCUACAUGUUCCCCUGCCAUCUGAUCCAACUUACCACCAGGUGGUGAUCAGUUGACAGCUCCGCUCCUCUCUUCACUCGGGUGUCCAAAACAUACGGCCGCAGGUCAGAUGAUACGACUACAAAGUCUAUCAUCGAUCUGCGACCUAGGCUGCCCUGGUACCAAGUGUACCGAUGGGCAUCCUUAUGUUCGAAAAAGGUGUUCUCAGUAAUUUUCACUAACUUAUUUGAGCAUCUUUAUAUUUUUCUAUAUUUAACGGUUGCAAAUGUUAAAGAGCGGGUCAAUUGAGCCUCGGAGUCCUUCUCCACCCACGUAUCAAUUUAAAAAAAUGCAACAUUAGUAGGCGUUGCCUGGAGGAUCGAGAGGGCGGAGCCGCGGCAGUGACGAAGACGAUGGCUAACUAGACGAAGCUAGCUCCCUUCACUCUGAGCAGUUGAUAGAAGUGGAGGACGUUUCUCCCCCUCCUUACAGACACUCGAGAAGAAAGGGACCAAGUCUAUUUGGAGGAGACAAGCGGACCUGAGUCUUAUUGUUUUGAGCUUGUGAGUUGCCUGAAACUCCCAGAGCCGACCCAACAGAAUCACCUCUGAAAGGUAAGUAGCCGUUAGCCAUAGCAUUGGAUUAGCUGCAGGGUUUGUCUCCACGGCCCCAAAAAGCUAGUAUUCAGCAUGUUUUAGAGGUUUAUCUGCUUCAGCACACCUGGUUUUAAUCAGCAACAAAUAGCUGAGCUGCUUAACAGCUAAUCUAACCUGUUAAAGCAGGAAAAUCCACUGAAACAUGCUGGAUAGCUCUCCGGUAGCCCUGGGCUCAAGGUACAGUCUGCUGCAUAUAAAGUUAUGAAAAUACCCCAUGAGAAAAUUAUUCUGUAAUGUGUUCAGCCCACUAAAACUGCCCUGAUUUCUUUAUUUAUUUACUAAUAACAGCUGCUCUCUCGGUUCUAGGUCCUCUGGUGUCUGCAGCUGGUCUCUGGUGUCUGCAGCUGGUCUCCUCUGCUGGUGUCCUCAGGAUCAGGAACUUCCAGAAGAAUGUGCCUUUCAAUGACUCUUUCCCCCUUAUUUGUUAUAUUAAUUAAAUAAAUCUCAAUUUAUAUA